rnacentral:rRNA from 1 species
GUGUCAGCAGCCGCGGUAAUACAGAGGGGGCAAGCGUUGUUCGGAAUUACUGGGCGUAAAGGGCGCGUAGGUGGCCACCUAAGUCAGACGUGAAAUCCCUCGGCUCAACCGGGGAACUGCGUCUGAUACUGGGUGGCUUGAAUCCGGGAGAGGGAUGUGGAAUUCCAGGUGUAGCGGUGAAAUGCGUAGAUAUCUGGAGGAACACCGGUGGCGAAGGCGGCAUCCUGGACCGGUAUUGACGCUGAGGCGCGAAAGCCAGGGGAGCAAACGGGAUUAGAUACCCCGGUAGUCCUGGCCCUAAACGAUGAAUGCUUGGUGUGGCGGGUAUCGAUCCCUGCCGUGCCGAAGCUAACGCAUUAAGCAUUCCGCCUGGGGAGUACGGUCGCAAGGCUGAA